CGGCGUCGAGCGGCGGACGGGUGAGUAAUGCCUGGGAAAUUGCCCUGAUGUGGGGGAUAACCAUUGGAAACGAUGGCUAAUACCGCAUAAUAGCUUCGGCUCAAAGAGGGGGACCUUCGGGCCUCUCGCGUCAGGAUAUGCCCAGGUGGGAUUAGCUAGUUGGUGAGGUAAGGGCUCACCAAGGCGACGAUCCCUAGCUGGUCUGAGAGGAUGAUCAGCCACACUGGAACUGAGACACGGUCCAGACUCCUACGGGAGGCAGCAGUGGGGAAUAUUGCACAAUGGGCGCAAGCCUGAUGCAGCCAUGCCGCGUGUAUGAAGAAGGCCUUCGGGUUGUAAAGUACUUUCAGCAGUGAGGAAGGCGGAUGCGUUAAUAGCGUAUUCAUUUGACGUUAGCUGCAGAAGAAGCACCGGCUAACUCCGUGCCAGCAGCCGCGGUAAUACGGAGGGUGCGAGCGUUAAUCGGAAUUACUGGGCGUAAAGCGCAUGCAGGUGGUUUGUUAAGUCAGAUGUGAAAGCCCGGGGCUCAACCUCGGAAUUGCAUUUGAAACUGGCAGACUAGAGUACUGUAGAGGGGGGUAGAAUUUCAGGUGUAGCGGUGAAAUGCGUAGAGAUCUGAAGGAAUACCGGUGGCGAAGGCGGCCCCCUGGACAGAUACUGACACUCAGAUGCGAAAGCGUGGGGAGCAAACAGGAUUAGAUACCCUGGUAGUCCACGCCGUAAACGAUGUCUACUUGGAGGUUGUGGCCUUGAGCCGUGGCUUUCGGAGCUAACGCGUUAAGUAGACCGCCUGGGGAGUACGGUCGCAAGAUUAAAACUCAAAUGAAUUGACGGGGGCCCGCACAAGCGGUGGAGCAUGUGGUUUAAUUCGAUGCAACGCGAAGAACCUUACCUACUCUUGACAUCCAGAGAAGCCAGCAGAGAUGCAGGUGUGCCUUCGGGAGCUCUGAGACAGGUGCUGCAUGGCUGUCGUCAGCUCGUGUUGUGAAAUGUUGGGUUAAGUCCC
rnacentral:rRNA from 1 species